ACGUCUAUAAUAAUCUUCAAAAAUUGUAAACUAUUAAAGAAACAAUGGCGUAAACAUCGCUAUUAUAUAUAUAUAUAUAAGAGUGCAGAAAUUGCCAAUAUUUUAUUUUUAUCGUAUCUAACUUUAAACUCAGUGGCGGAUUUAGCACUUGAGAGGCUCCAGGCGCAAUUCAAUUUUGAGGCCUCCCUCUAAUAUUUUCACUAAUCCUAAGCUCUAAAGUACGCAAGAUUUUUACUCUGGAAAAAUUAGAAGAAUUAUAGAUAAAGAAGUGAAUUAUCAGAAGAAAUAUAAACAUAAAUGAAUUUUAUUCCAUUAAAGUUCUAUCAAUUGAAUUGGCAUUGACAGCGAAGAAUAGUGAAGGGCCUAUAUAAAGAGAGAGGAACAAGUGCAUAACAACUUAGUGCAUAGCUAGAAACUAAAUUAAGACAUUUAAGAUAGGAACUGUUUGUAAGGUGACACAAGUUGGAUCUGAGUGACUGAGCAACUUGGAGAGGCUAAUGGACAAGUGCUGUAUCCCAGCCAAGCGUGUUGUUUUUGAGGGGACGUCACAGAAAGAACAACAUAGGAGUUGCUGUAACGAAGUACACACGUGUCGCAUUGAAUCUCUCCCUAGUGUUUCCCACGGCAUGAGACAUGAAGUUCCUUAAUGGAAGCACGUGUCUCUCUUUUACUUAUUUUCUACGUAAAAAGAAGAAAUUUAAAAAGAAAAAAAAAAAUAUAAAGUACAGAAAGGAAACAGAGUAACCCUCAAAACGAUGUUUGACGAAUUGAUCUCCUUUAUUUUGUUUAACCUUCUGACAAGUAAUUUAUGCUAAUAAGUCGCCGUGAGAUCACACAGAAUCGUUUCGACGAGAGGAAGAUGCCUAAUUGCUGAAGGCUACUGUAUAAGAUGAGGAAGAGAGAUGCUUACUUUAGGAGAAAAGAGAGAGAAGUGAGAAGGAGAUGUUUGCUUUAUUCUACGAGAGAGAUAGAGAAUGUGAUGCUUACUUUGAUGGAGGAGAGUUAAGGGAAAAAGUAUUUA